rnacentral:lncRNA from 1 species
GCCUGCCCGAAGAGGCGGCGCUGGGAGCAGCUCCAGAGACAGGAGAAGCUGCGAGAGGCAAGGAGCCCCCAGUGUUGGCCGCCCCCCGCCCUUUCCCUGGGCCGAGGAGAGGCAAGGACUGCCGAAAGGGCGGCAGCAAGAAGCAGGAAUCUGCGCUCCCCAGCACCACGGGGACUGGAGAGCCCUCCUUCCCUACCCAUUCCCAGAUCGCCGCCCAGCCCCCUCCGCUGCCUCCCCGGGCUCCUGAGCUCAGUCUCCGAGAACCCCCUCCCCUUUUCCCGUCCGAGCAGCCCAAGAGGUCGCCUUUCCCCACCAUCCAGCCCUCUCCCAACCCAACACGUCGGGCCGGCUCCGGAGGCGGCGGCCAGGGGGCCUGCGGGAUCGAGGCCCGUUUCUCUCUUUGGUUAUCUAGCUGUAUGAGUGUUAUUGAGCUAUCAUAA